rnacentral:rRNA from 1 species
CCUACGGGAGGCAGCAGUGGGGAAUAUUGGACAAUGGGCGAAAGCCUGAUCCAGCAAUGCCGCGUGAGUGAAGAAGGUCUUCGGAUUGUAAAGCUCUUUCACGGGUGAAGAUAAUGACGGUAACCCGAGAAGAAGCCCCGGCUAACUUCGUGCCAGCAGCCGCGGUAAUACGAAGGGGGCUAGCGUUGUUCGGAAUUACUGGGCGUAAAGGGCGCGUAGGCGGUCUGUCAAGUUAGGUGUGAAAGCCCUGGGCUCAACCCAGGAACUGCAUUUAAGACUGGCAGGCUAGAGAUCUAGAGGGGAUAGUGGAAUUCCAAGUGUAGAGGUGAAAUUCGUAGAUAUUUGGAGGAACACCAGUGGCGAAGGCGACUAUCUGGCUAGAAUCUGACGCUGAGGCGCGAUAGCGUGGGGAGCAAACAGGAUUAGAUACCCUGGUAGUCCACGCCGUAAACGAUGAGUGCUUGAUGUUGGAUGCUAACGCAUUCAGUGUCGGAGUAACGCGUUAAGCACUCCGCCUGGGGAGUACGGUCGCAAGAUUAAAACUCAAAUGAAUUGACGG